AAAGUCGUAACAAGGUUUCCGUAGGUGAACCUGCGGAAGGAUCAUUACCGGAGUUAGGGCACUCAGUGCCCCCCCUCCCAACCUUUGUUUACCAAUCUUCUGUUGCUUUGGCGUGGCUGCACGCCAGAGAACCUACUCUAUUCUGUUUUGUAACUGCUGUCUGAGUAAUAUUGAAUUAAUGAAAACUUUCAACAACGGAUCUCUUGGUUCCC
rnacentral:misc_RNA from 1 species